rnacentral:rRNA from 1 species
CCUACGGGAGGCAGCAGUGAGGAAUAUUGGUCAAUGGACGAGAGUCUGAACCAGCCAAGUAGCGUGAAGGAUGACUGCCCUAUGGGUUGUAAACUUCUUUUAUAUGGGAAUAAAAUGUUCCACGUGUGGGAUUUUGUAUGUACCAUAUGAAUAAGGAUCGGCUAACUCCGUGCCAGCAGCCGCGGUAAUACGGAGGAUCCGAGCGUUAUCCGGAUUUAUUGGGUUUAAAGGGAGCGUAGAUGGGUUGUUAAGUCAGUUGUGAAAGUUUGCGGCUCAACCGUAAAAUUGCAAUUGAUACUGGCAGCCUUGAGUACAGUUGAGGUAGGCGGAAUUCGUGGUGUAGCGGUGAAAUGCUUAGAUAUCACGAAGAACUCCGAUUGCGAAGGCAGCGUACUAAACUGCCACUGACAUUGAUGCUCGAAAGUGUGGGUAUCAAACAGGAUUAGAUACCCCUGUAGUC